GAUGAAGAACGUAGCGAAAUGCGAUAAGUAAUGUGAAUUGCAGAAUUCAGUGAAUCAUCGAAUCUUUGAACGCACAUUGGGCCCGCCAGUAUUCUGGCGGGCAUGCCUGUCUGAGCGUCAUUUCAACCCUCAUGCCCCUAGGGCGUGGUGUUGGGGAUCGGCCAAAGCCCGCGAGGGACGGCCGGCCCCUAAAUCUAGUGGCGGACCCGUCGUGGCCUCCUCUGCGAAGUAGUGAUAUUCCGCAUCGGAGAGCGAUGAGCCCCUGCCGUUAAACCCCCAACUUUCCAAGGUUGACCUCAGAUCAGGUAGGAAUACCCGCUGAACUUAAGCAUAUCAAUAAGCGGAGGA
rnacentral:misc_RNA from 1 species